GCCGGGAAGAGGAAGAAAGAGAGAGCUCAAGAGCACUGGGAAUGGGAACAUGGAGGAAAGCCCUGCUUGUUUGUUUGCACCUCUAGUGUUGGAGGUGCAAAUAUUAGGCAUGGAUCCUUUUCUGAUGCCUCCCAUUCCUAUCGUUGUUGUGCACUCCUUCCUCUUCCUUUUGGAU
rnacentral:pre_miRNA from 1 species